rnacentral:rRNA from 1 species
CAGCCGCCGCGGUAAUACGAAGGGGGCUAGCGUUGUUCGGGAUUACUGGGCGUAAAGCGCACGUAGGCGGAUAUUUAAGUCAGGGGUGAAACCCCAGAGCUCAACUCUGGAACUGCCCUUGAUACUGGGUAUCUUGAGUAUGGAAGAGGUGAGUGGAAUUCCGAGUGUAGAGGUGAAAUUCGUAGAUAUUCGGAGGAACACCAGUGGCGAAGGCGGCUCACUGGUCCAUUACUGACGCUGAGGUGCGAAAGCGUGGGGAGCAAACAGGAUUAGAUACCCCGGUAGUCCCUGUCUCUUAUAC